GUCAUCUGCUCAGACCUUUCACUGCCUCCACAGGUUUUGUUGAAAAGGAGCUUGAAUUCUCAUCAAAAUAAACAUGAAGGCUUCGGCACUUCUGCCUUCUGUCCUUGUGUACCUUCUACUGGCUACUCAAGGGCUCUGUGAUAUAUCAACCACCAUUGAUUGCAAAAGGAAUAGCGGUUUCUGCACUGAUAGGCGUUGUUUAACUGGCGCUAAGGACAACCUUGGAAAAUGUGAUGAUGGAACCACCUGUUGCAAAAUACGUUUUCUUAUCUAACAAAUACUUUAACCAUGUCUAAACUGAUGAUGGAAAAUGUACCCAUCAGGCAUGUACCGCCAAGCAAACUGAUUCUGUCGUAAUUGCCUGGGCUUUGUAUUCUCAACUUCAAAUAAUCACAUGAGCAUUUGAAUCUGCAUUGGUGAAACGUGUAUGUUUCUAAUUGUUUGAAUAAA